UCGAGAAUUACAUUUGUGUUUGUUCAAUUACUAUUCUCUUUCUCUCUCUCUAAUCGAGAUUUUUUAUAUUUUACAUAAGAAUGCGAAUUCAACAUUUUAAAUACUGUGAUCAUUUGAUUUAGUAUUUGAUUUAGUAUAUAAUUGAAAAAAUAAACGAAUCGUCAUUGAUGUCGUCGAGUUUUCUAACACAGUCGCUCACCACUGAAGCAUUCUUCAGAAAUGCCAAUGGAAUACAGUUAACAUUAAAAGAAAAAACAAGCUCGAAUCUAUCCAAUGUCGACAUCAUAAACUUUGCUUUACGAAGUGAAAAGCAUUUUAAUGUCAAUUUAUGUUUAACAUUAGUCUGUGCAAUUCUUUUUAUAUGGUUUGUGUCAGGAGCUUCACUUCCUCUUAUCGUAUCAGCAUGUCUUUUGAUACUACAAUGUAAAUCAUUCAUCACUUCUAUCAAACAGGAUACAUUGUUGGUUGUUAAAUCAGUAGGUGUACAUAUCGAAAAUAAAAGAGGAUUUGGUAUAUUUACAUCAAUAAAAUUCUUAC